GCGCGUGCGCGGCAGAGUCACAAUGGCAGCCAGAUUCAGGUGCGGCCAUUUGUGUGUCCCCGAGGUUCCUCGCGGGCCGGCAUCCCACGCCGAGGGUGGUGGUGGCAGGCUUUCCAGAAAGGCAGCACACCAGGCUCAGCUCUGCUGGCGAGCAGGAGGCGACGGCAGAGGAAACUUCAACCCGAUGAACUUCCUGGUUGCGGGGACAUUUGCCUCCUCCUGCCACUCACCACCUCUGCUCUGGUCCCUCCCUCCAAGAAUCCUCAUAGCGUCCUCUCUCCCCACUCUCUCCCAUCCCGCGUCUCCCAUAUUUGCCCCAGCUUGGCUCAGGGCCACAGUUCUGCACUCUUCAGCCGGCGGCGCCACCAGCAGUUGUUUCUACGCGGGAAAUAGGGCAACAGCAUCCCAGCACAGCUGAGUGCCCAAGGAUGGUCAGCCGGGUAGGGCAAGAAGCUUCUUUCAGGGAUUCUGAUCUCACGAAACAAGAGUAAUGAUGGCACUUCACUCAGAGGUUUGUCCUGAGGCUUAAAUGAGGCAACAUGGACACAGCAUUUUAGCACAAGGCCAGGUACAGUAUGUGUAAGGAGUGUUGGCUGCUAUUUUCUCAGGCUCAUCAUCCAUCAGAUGCAAUCACUGUUCCCUGUCUUUGAAUUGUGCCUUUAAUUUUCAUACCGCCCCUGACCAAAAUUCCAUCAGAAAAAGGUGGCUUCAGCUAAAGGUUCUUACACCAGAAGCACAAUUAGAGUGAUUGGUGAAAAUUUCCCUUUGCAUGAGAUUGGCCCAUUUUGCAGGAUCGUUCCAUGGAGUGUUCACAGAUUCUUUUUUUUUUUUUAAUUGAAACAGUCUCACUCUGUCACGCAAGUUGGAAUGCAGUGGUGUGAUGUCGGCUCACUGCCAACAUCUGCCACCCAGGUUCAAGUGAUUCUCGUGUCUCAGCCUCCCCAGUAGCUGGGAUUACAGGCGCCGAUCACCAAGCCCGGCUAAUUUUUUUUGUAUUUUUAGUAGAGAUGGGGUUUUGCCAUGUUGGCCAGGCUGCUCUCAAACUCCUGACCUCAGGUGAUCCGCCUGCCUUGGCCUCCCAAAGUGCUGGGAUUACAGGCAUGAGCCACCGCGCCCGGCCAGAUUCUAACAGCAUUUGACUCAUUGCCAUAGAGACCACGUCACCAAUGUGUCCAGAUUCUUAGAUCUAAUGGACAACCUGCUUGUUAGAGUUCUAAUAAACUUUGGUGAAAAGCUGUGUAAGCAGCUCAUUCUCAAACAGCACAAUAAUCCCAGUAGGUAUGUGAGAUAUCUGGGUCUCUUCUUUGGAAUCUGUCUUAUGGGUGAGAACAUGAUUUUAAAGUCUCAGUGUAUUGAAGUUGUGUUAUCAGUCUGGAAAUAUUCAGCAUUAUUCUCUCACAGAAAUUAUUAAAAUAUUUAAAACGUUUUACCUAGGCUUUAACUCAAAAACUCCACGAGAGAUACUCAAAGAGGCAUUUAAAGAGUUAACAAGGAUACUCAUUGAAGAAAUAUUUACAAUAUAAAACAUUGGAAGUAACCAAAAUUUUCAACAAUAGCAGGUAUGUUAAAUAGAUCAUGAUAGUUCUCCUUGAUAAGAUUUUAUAAAAUUAUUAAAAAUGUUUUCAUAUAAGGGCUGGGUGCGGUGGCUGUUGGCAUUUUGGGAGGCUGAGGCAGGUGGAUCACUUGAAGUCAGGAGUUCCAGACCAACCUGGCCAACAUGGUAAAACCCUGUUUCUACUAAAAAUACAAAAAUUAGCUAGGCGUGGUGGUGAGAGCUGGUAAUCCCAGCUACUCAUGAGGCUGAGGCAGUAGAAUCGCUUGAACCCGGGAGGUGGAGGUUGCAGUGAGCCAAGAUUGUGCCACUGCACUCCAGCCUGGGUGACUGAGUGAGACCCUGUUUCAAAAAAAAAAAAAAAAGUUGUCAUAUAAGAUUUACUGAUCCCUGAAAAUCAUAAGUAAAAAAACAGGCUUCACAAAAGCUGAUAGAGUACAAUCCCACUUUUAUAAAACAAGACAAAUAAAUAGAAAAAGAAUGAAGGAUAUAUACACAUCAAAUGUUAAUAGUGGCUAAGAAUGGUGGCAUUAUGAGUUAAUAUGCUUUUCUUCUUUGGUCUUUUCUGUAUUUCUGAAAGUUGUCUAUAUUGAACACAAGUGAGUUUUAUUAUCAGGAAAGGCUAAAUAAAUAUUUUAAAAG
rnacentral:lncRNA from 1 species